rnacentral:rRNA from 1 species
UACGUAGGGGGCAAGCGUUAUCCGGAUUUACUGGGUGUAAAGGGUGCGUAGGUGGCUAUGCAAGUUUGAUGUGAAACCUUAAGGCUUAACCUUAAGCAUGCAUCAAAAACUGCAAAGCUAGAGUGCAGGAGAGGAAAGUGGAAUUCCUAGUGUAGCGGUGAAAUGCGUAGAUAUUAGGAGGAACACCAGUAGCGAAGGCGGCUUUCUGGACUGUAACUGACACUGAGGCACGAAAGCGUGGGAAGCAAACAGGAUUAGAUACCCUGGUAGUCCACGCCGUAAACGAUGAAUGCUAGGUGUUGGGCUCUACGGAGCUCGGUGCCGAAGUUAACACAUUAAGCAUUCCACCUGGGAAGUACGAUCGCAAGAUUGAA